GACUUAUACCUUCUCAACAGACUCCUGGGAUGGGUGCUACUCUCUGGUCAGGGUAGGAAAAAAGGACUCAUUUACAGCCUCCCUUCAGGCUGCUACAACUUAGAGGAGUGAUCUAACCACGUGACUAAAGUUACAAGGGGACCACCACCUCUUUCUCCUGUGACUGGAUUUUGAACAGGAUCUGAUCUGGAUCUUUGGUGAAGACUCCUGAAGAGUGAUUAGCCGAUGAUAAGCCGAUGGUCAUUCUUAGAGAGGAACAGAUGGAUUCUUUCUAGAUAGAGAAGGCACUUUGGGUGACAGUCAUCAGCAUGACCCAACGCUUGCACCUUAUCUUGAUGGAGGAGAGAGUUUCCAUAGAGCAGAGACAGUGCUCCA